rnacentral:rRNA from 1 species
UUCGCAAUGCCCGAAAGGGUGACGAAGCGACGCCGCGUGUGGGAAGAAGGCCUUCGGGUUGUAAACCACUGUCGGGAGUUAAGAAAUGUAAGGAUGUUAAUAGCAUCCUUACUUGACGUUAGCUCCGGAGGAAGCCACGGCUAACUCUGUGCCAGCAGCCGCGGUAAUACAGAGGUGGCAAGCGUUGUUCGGAAUUAUUGGGCGUAAAGAGCACGUAGGCGGCCCUGCAAGUCAGCUGUGAAAUCCUUCUGCUCAACGGAAGAACGGCAGUUGAUACUACAGGGCUCGAGUGCGGGAGGGGAGAGUGGAACUUCUGGUGGAGCGGUGAAAUGCGUAGAUAUCAGAAGGAACAUCGGCGGCGAAAGCGACUCUCUGGCCCGUAACUGACGCUGAGUGUGCGAAAGCUAGGGGAGCAAACGGGAUUAGAUACCCCGGUAGUCCUAGCCGUAAACGAUGGGCACUAAGUAGAGGGGUUUU